GUCCACGGAUGGGAAACGAACCCACAGUGUUCCGCUUACCGGGCAGAUGCCAUGUCCACUAGGCUACCCUGGA
rnacentral:tRNA from 1 species